rnacentral:tRNA from 1 species
GGUCCCGUAGCUCAGCUUGGCUAGAGCGCACGACUGAUAAUCGUGAGGUCGUGGGUUCAAAUCCCACCGGGACCA